GACAGGGGGCGCAAACGUUGUUCGGAAUCACUGGGCAUAAAGCGCACGUAGGCGGCUGACUAAGUCAGAUGUGAAAGCCCCCGGCUCAACCGGGGAACAGCACCUGAUACUGGUCGGCUCGAGGACGGUAGGGGUGAGUGGAACUCCAGGUGGAGCGGUGAAAUGCGUAGAUAUCUGGAGGAACACCGGUGGCGAAAGCGGCUCACUGGACCGUCUCUGACGCUGAGGUGCGAAAGCUAGGGGAGCAAACGGG
rnacentral:rRNA from 1 species